UGGGGAAUAUUGGGCAAUGGAGGCAACUCUGACCCAGCAACGCCGCGUGAAUGAUGAAGGUCUUCGGAUUGUAAAGUUCUGUGAUGGGGGACGAAGAAAGUGACGGUACCCCAAUAGCAAGCUACGGCUAACUACGUGCCAGCAGCCGCGGUAAUACGUAGGUAGCAAGCGUUGUCCGGAAUGACUGGGCGUAAAGGGUGCGUAGGUGGCUUAACAAGUUGGUAGUGAAAUUCCGAGGCUUAACUUCGGCGCUACUACCAAGACUGUUGAGCUUGAGUACAGGAGAGGUAAGUGGAAUUCCUAGUGUAGCGGUGGAAUGCGUAGAUAUUAGGAGGAACACCAGUGGCGAAGGCGACUUACUGGCCUGCAACUGACACUGAGGCACGAAAGCGUGGGGAGCAAACAGG
rnacentral:rRNA from 1 species